AUUCUUGUCUGUGUGUAUGUCUAUCUUUUUCUCCCCAAAUUCAGACCAUGAUAAGUUUGUGCAAACGGCCAAUUUGAGUCCUGCAUACCAGGCCCAGUCUAAGCCUCUCAUUUGGAUUCAGAGAUUGUCAUGCUCAGAAAACGAGUUGUUUGCAUCCAGGCUUCAGGAUGCUGCAGGAGGCCUGUUGAGCACAUCAUUGGAUAACUUCAACGUGGACGGCAGCAAGGAGGCUGGACCAGAAGGCAUCGGGCGCAGCCCCUGCACUGGCCGGGAGCAGCUGAAGAGUGCCUGUGUGAUCCAGAGGCCAAUGACCUGGGACUCUCUGUCUGGGCCACCUGUUCAGAGCAUGCAUGCAGGGUCAAAGAAUAAUAGGAGGAAGAGCUUUACAGCUGAACCGGGCCAAGAAAUCGUGUGUGUGACACUGAAACGUGACCCACAUCGUGGUUUUGGUUUUGUCAUUAAUGAGGGAGAGUAUUCAGGCCAAGCUGACCCUGGCAUUUUUAUAUCUUCUAUUAUACCUGGAGGACCAGCAGAAAAAGCAAAAACGAUCAAACCAGGAGGGCAGAUACUAGCCCUGAAUCACAUCAGUCUGGAGGGCUUCACAUUCAACAUGGCUGUUAGGAUGAUCCAGAGUUCCCCUGAAAACAUAGAAUUAAUUAUUUCUCAGUCAAAAGGUGUUGGUGGAAAUAACCCAGAUGAAGAAAAGAAUAGCACAGCCAAUUCUGGGGUCUCCUCUACAGACAUCCUGAGCUUCGGGUACCAGGGAAGUUUGUUGUCACACACACAAGACCAGGACAGAAAUAUUGAAGAACUAGACAUGGCUGGGGUGCAGAGCUUAGAGCCCAGGCUGAGACAUCAGCUUUCUUUUCUGCCAUUGAAGGGUGCUGGUUCUUCUUGUCCUCCAACACCUCCGGAAAUUGGUGCUGGUGAAAUCUACUUUGUGGAACUGGUUAAAGAAGAUGGGACACUUGGAUUCAGCGUAACUGGUGGCAUUAACACCAGCGUGCCCUAUGGUGGUAUCUACGUGAAAUCCAUUGUUCCUGGAGGACCAGCUGCCAAGGAAGGGCAGAUCCUACAGGGUGACCGACUCCUGCAGGUGGAUGGAGUGAGUCUGUGCGGCCUCACCCACAAGCAGGCUGUGCAGUGCCUGAAGGGUCCUGGGCAGGUUGCAAGACUGGUCUUAGAGAGAAGAGGCCCCAGGAGUACACAGCAGUGUCCUUCUGCUAAUGAAAGCAUGGGAGAUGAACACAUGGCUGUUUCCUUGGUAACAGCCUUGCCUGGCAGGCCUUCGAGCUGUGUCUCGGUGACAGAUGGUCCUAAGUUUGAAGUCAAACUAAAAAAGAAUGCCAAUGGUUUGGGAUUCAGUUUCGUGCAGAUGGAGAAAGAGAGCUGCAGCCAUCUCAAAAAUGAUCUUGUGAGGAUUAAGAGGCUCUUUCCGGGGCAGCCAGCUGAGGAGAAUGGGGCCAUUGCAGCUGGUGACAUUAUCCUGGCCGUGAAUGGAAGGUCCACAGAAGGCCUCAUCUUCCAGGAGGUGCUGCAUUUACUGAGAGGGGCCCCACAGGAAGUCACGCUCCUCCUUUGCCGACCCCCUCCAGGUGCGCUGCCUGAGAUGGAGCAGGAAUGGCAGACACCUGAACUCUCAGCUGACAAAGAAUUCACCAGGGCAACAUGUACUGACUCAUGUACCAGCCCCAUCCUGGAUCAAGAGGACAGCUGGAGGGGCAGUGCCUCCCGAGAUGCAGGGGAAGGCCUGGGUCUCAGGCCAGAGUCUUCCCCAAAGGCCAUCAGAGAGGCACAAUGGGGCCAAAACAGAGAGAGACCUUGGGCCAGUUCCUUGAUACAUUCUCCUGAGUCCCACCCUCAUUUAUGCAAACUUCACCAAGAAAGGGAUGCAUCAACAUUGGCGACCUCUUUGGAAAAGGAUGUGAGGCAAAACUGCUAUUCAGUUUGUGAUAUCAUGAAACUUGGAAGUCCUGAAUUGGAUGGGGAGGAUGGGGAAGGUGACAUGUACCAUCCAUGUGGAGCCCCUUCUCCCACCUUGGAGGAUGAAGAGUAUCUUACCAUCAACUCUACAUAUCAAGGCCAGCUACCCUGCGAAGAAUGUUUGGAGGCAGAUUCUGGGACCAUUCCCUUGCCACAGUUCUGCUCUUGGGGCACUGUCCCAGAGUCUUUGCCUCCAGAAGAGUCCCCAGAGAGUGGGAGUGAAUGGGAAGACCUGGAGGAGCCUGUGACCCUGGAGUAUGGUGCCCUCAGGUCUCUCUCUUUUGGGGGUCUGAAUGUCUAGUGCUGAUUCCUGUUUUGCCUGCUCCUACCUGCCCCUCUGCUGGAUGUACUGCAGAGAAGAGUCUUGGUGUCCUGUCAUAGGGCCCAUCUUGUUGGACUGCUGUGGCUGAGUAUAGACCAGCAUCAGGAAAGUCUCACUGUUCAUGCAAGGAGCCACCAGAAGCUGACCUGGUCACCAGGCAGGGUCAGAACAUAUUGAUGAGGACACAGGAAGAGUAAACACAGAGAACAACCGUCUCCUGAGGCAGAGACUGAGGGUUUCUGCAUGGAGGUCCUUUGGACAGAAGAGCCCUCAGGUGACCUUGGUCCAAAGAGUGUACUCACCAGCUCUGCCACUGGGAAAGAAACCUGUAGGCUCCUGCAAAGGUGACCUGGGAUGAAGGGCCUGGCCCAGUUGUUAAGAGCUCGCUUCAAGA
rnacentral:sRNA from 1 species